ensembl:lncRNA
CCCGGAGCAGGGCGGGCAGCGCGGCCGGCGCCCUCCGGCCCUGCCGCCGACGGCUGUUCGGCAGCGCCGGCGCCGCGGGGCUGGAGCAGAGCAGUCUGAAGGGAAAAUCCAGUCUGAAAACCUUACCAAAAAUUAAAGAAAAUCUUGAAGUGACCCAAGCGACCCAUUCAUCCAAUCAAAGCACUCUAGUGCAUGUCAAAGGGGUGACCAACAUAGAAGAAACUGAAGAGAAAACAGGAGAAAGCACUGUACUGCUGAAGGAAUCUUCAGUAAUCAACUUUGAAAGUAAAGAAAGUWUGAAAAAUGCUGAAGUGACUUCAAGUACAGAAUUGACUCUUCCCACAGGUGUUUCAACCUUUCUACUAGAGUGUUUAGAUGUAGAUUCCACUGCAGACUAUAACACAGGCUCUAAUGACAGCAUGAACAAUUGCUCAUCCCCUGAAACAUUCAGAGAUGAAGAUAUUUCAGACAGAAGUAACCUUUUCUCUGAGGACUGUGUCAAAUAUAAGAACUCAACUCUCCUGGACUCCAGCAAAGCAAUGACCAUAGACAAGAUGCCACAGAUCUCAAAUCUGUCAGCAAUAUUAGAACCUAUGCUGGAGGAUUUUCAAGACCAAUACACUAGAAGAAAUAAACCAUCAAAAUGCAAUUACAGUUCUUCAGCAUUAAAUGUUUCAACUACUCUAGCAGGGAAACAAGUCUGUAAAAUUACAACUGCAAGAGAGAGAACUCCAGACCUAAAAGCUGGUAUGYGCUGUUCUUCACCGAUAGGACCAGAAAGAAAGGUGAAAGAUUUUUAA